AAAAAAAAAUUAUUAAUAAAAUUAGCCCACCCAAUUUAACCUAACUCAACUCAACUGCCAUAUUAACAUAAAGGCUCAAGUCAAAUAAAUCCAGGUAGGCGGCCAGAAUUUAUGGGGCCUCAAAACUUAUAGGGCCGAUGAUGGGUCAAAAAAAAAAAACAAAAUAUUUUUAGGGCAAAUCAUUUCAGCCUCCCCAAUCGCCUCCAUCUUUAUUUUCGUUCUCGACUCUGAACUUGCCCUCUCUCUCUCUCUCUCUCUCCAACUGCAAACUACAAAAUCUGCAAGAAUCAGAAGUUCAAAACCCAUAUAUUUCAGUUUGUCUAUCUGUCUGCAAGAAUCAAAAGUUCAAAACCCAUAUCGGCAUAUCAUUUCAGAUUGUUCAAAAAAUCAAAACCCAUAUCUUUUAGUUUCCAUCGCCCGCUGUUCCAGUUCGGGUUCGCCGUUCGCAAGCUUCAGCCGCUGGCCCGCUGUCUCUCAACUCUCAAGCUUGCCCCCCUCUCUCUCUCUGCAACUGCUAACUUGUAUGGUUAGUAUCGGGCCUUAACAUUUAGCAAGAACAAGGUUCACGAAACAUGCCUCCUCUGUCAUCAGGUCUCUUUUCUGAAAGAACAAAGUUGAUGGGAAUGGGUGGAGUUGGCAAAAAAGAAAAUAGAUUGGUCACGAGAGGCUGGUAGCAAUUUCUCUAAUGAGAAAGUAUAGUAACCCAAGAUCAGAAUUGCAUAUCAGGUCUGCCAUAGCAAUUGAUAAUCUGAAAAACUAUAUAUAUAUUGAAGCCGACAAAGAAGUCCACCUUAAAGAGGCUUGCAGGGGCAUGCAAGACCUAUAUUCUAAUAGAAUAGUGAUGGUUCCGAUUAAAGAGAUUACAUCUUUUGAAUUCUGAAUUCAUUUUGACAAAAUUCCUUUUAGAGUGGCAUUUCAAUCCAAGGAGUUUUUGCCUUGGAAAGCUCCCCCAAACACAACCCAAAUCAAUCCAGUGGGAAGUGUAGUUCAUUCGAAGAAGCCAACCCACAGUUCUCUCUGAUUGGCUUCUUCAAUUUCAGGUAAUGAAUCUUAAUGUCAAUCUGUUUGGGAUCCAAUUUCAAUCUGAUUUGAUUGUUUGAUGUUUUGUAUGUUUUAAAUUUGGAUAAUUUUGUUUUGGGUUGAAUUUAAAGCACAAAUUGCAAUUUCUCUAAUGAGAAAGUAUAUUAACACAAUAUCAAAAUCGGUACCAGGUCUGCCAUAGCCAUUUGAUAAUAUGAAAAACUAUAUAUAUAUUGAAGCCGACAAAGAAGUCCAUGUCAAAGAAGUAUGCAAAAUCGAGGCAUCAUACAUUUGUGUUACUCAAUUAAGUGAGGAACUUUGCGAUAAUCAAUGUAUGCAUAUGUGUUGGUAUGUUGACCUUUUUUUUAUAUAUUUGAUUCUGCUUCAGGCUUGCAGGGGCAUGCAAGACCUAUAUUCUAAUAGAAUAGUGAUGGGUCGAUUAAAGAGAUUACGUCUUUUGAAUUCUGAAUUCAUUUUGACAAAAUUCCUUUUAGAAUGGCAUUUCAAUCCAAGGAGUUUUUGCCUUGGAAAGCUCCCAGCCCAAAUCAAUCCAGUGGGAAGUGUAGUUCAUUCGAAGAAACCAACCCACAGUUCUCCCUGAUUGGCUUCUUCAAUUUCAGGAUAAUGAAGACGUGCCACAGCAGGUUUAAUUUCCAGGAUCUCCCUUUUGCAUCUCUCCCCUUUCAUAAAUGAGAUUUUGCUUCGAUUGCCUCACAGUCUGCAAGCUCAAGUGUGUAUGGAAAACAUGAAACAGUUUUAUAUCUCAUCCUAUUUUCUGCAGCAAUUACCUUUCUCAAAAUAAGAAUUAUCUUCCCCCAUUGUUGGGACUCUUUCGGAUUACUCUUGCUCAUAUUGAUCGUCGGCCAACACUUGAAGUUUCAUUCCUACAAAAUUGUAAGGAAAGGAAAUUUACAAGUUUGGAUUUGUUUGAAAACUAUUUGCUUACUUAUGUUUCUCCUGAAGGCCUAAUACUAUGUGCCGUUUAGAAAACUUCAAAGUUUUCAAAUACUGCGUUUGUAAUCCAGUCACAAAUCAGUGGUUUGCUCUUCCUGAACCAAGACAUGCUCCAUCCUCUGAGGCUCUCUCUUGUGAGGAAUGUAGCAGCAAAGAUGGUGAUGGUGUAGUGCAUUUCAAACUAACUCUUAGCUAUCAUGAAAAGGAGAGCGGGAGCCACAUAUGACAGAUUACAUAUAGAAGCUUUCUCUUCUCGUACAGGCGAAUGGAGUGAAUCAUGUCUCACUUCUCCAUCUGAAUUUUCAGAUGACGACGAGUCCUACCUUUGUCAAGCAGUAGGUGGGAUCUUGUACUGGAAAGUUAGUGGUGGUCAUUUGGUUGCUUAUGAUCCCAACACGGGGGAAAAUCGUCUCUGGCUGAUAGAGUUGCCUCGUCCCUGUUGGAAAAAGAGAAAUGGAUUCUAUAUAGAAUAUAUCUUGGGACACUAGUCGGCAGCAGAUGGUUGUCUUCUUCGGUUUGCCAUAAUUGAAAAACUGAUGAUCAAAGCGUGGGAGAUCAAAAAGAAGCUUUCUAGUUAUAGUUUAUCACGCAUCAUACCAAGUACUGAAUGGGUGUUGAAGGAAGAAGUGAGUCGCAAGAAGUUGGGCAUCGGUAAUUCUCCUCCUUGCAUUCGCUUGAUAGAAUUUCAUCCUUGCAAUGCAAAACUUGUGUAUCUUCAGAGGGUAAGCAUGGCGUUUAGCUAUGAUUUUGAGACGAGAAGAUUGGAACCAAUUCAGUAUCAUGGAACUGGAACUGUCUUGGCAAACUGUAACCUUAUACAAUAUUAUAUAUUCAGAUUUCAAUGUAUAUUACCAUACUUUAUAAGCUUCUUUUUUUUUUCUUU